AGGGAGCAGAAGGGGAAGGGCCAAGGGAGUUUGUCAACCUACGUACGUAAGCUAGCAAUAGGCUAAUUAUGCAACAUAUUACCAGAUGUAAAGGGUAAAAAUCAUUGUCUCUGUGUAGCCUAUCAAUGUUAAAGAAAGAGUAAAAAUUGUCUCUGUGUAAACUAUCAAUCAGUGUUGUGUUGUUUGAGACCACCUAAAGUGAGACUGAUUCAAGACGAGGACCAGAGCAAAUCGAGUCCGAGUUAAGACCAAGACCGGAGUGGGGGCACAACCGAGUCAAAACCGAUAAAGAGGGGAUCAAGGGGUCUGAAACAGAGUCGAGACCAGAGAAAUAUACUAAUCGCACUGGUACAACCCUGUACGGGUGGCUGACUGAGAUAACAUAUACACUGAACAUAUACACUGAAAUUCCUAAAAUACAUACACCCGACCCCCUUCGGGAUGGGCUACAAAGACAAAGAACUCUGUCGAGAACCAAUGGGAUAUGGACACCAGGCUGGAGGGGACUGUCUAUCACCUAUAAGCAACCUACCAGAAGCCAGGACUACCAGAAUCUACCUACGUCAUUUCAAUGUAUUAAAGGGACUGCACAUCAUGUUUUCGGCCUCUCUUUCCGACGGUUCCAUAAGAGCUAGACGAACGGGGCCGUGCAGCACGCUUUGCCAAAUAUCAUUACGCUUGAAUAAACAGUCUUUUAUUAUACCUUA